rnacentral:rRNA from 1 species
GAUCAACGCUGGCGGCGUGCAUAACACAUGCAAGUCGAACGAUGAAGAUUAAAAGAUUUCUUCGGAAUGAACUUAAUUGGAUUAGUGGCGGACGGGUGAGUAACGCGUGAGUAACCUGCCUUGUACAAGGGGAUAGCCGUUGGAAACGACGAAUAAUACCCUAUGACAUCAAAUAAUCGCAUGAUAAUUUGAUCAAAGAUUUAUCGGUAUAAGUUGGACUCGCGUCUGAUUAGCUAGUUGGUAGAGUAAAAGCCUACCAAGGCAACGAUCAGUAGCCGGCUUGAGAGAGUGUACGGCCACAUUGGGACUGAGACACGGCCCAGACUCCUACGGGAGGCAGCAGUGGGGAAUUUUGCACAAUGGGGGAAACCCUGAUGCAGCGACGCCGCGUGAUUUAGAAGGCCUUCGGGUUGUAAAAAUCUUUUGUAUGGGAAGAAAAUGACAGUACCAUACGAAUAAGGACCGGCUAAUUACGUG